CACGUAGGGGGCGAGCGUUGUCCGGAUUUAUUGGGCGUAAAGAGCUCGUAGGCGGCUUUGUCAGUCGGGUGUGAAACCUCCAGGCUCAACCUGGAGCCGCCACCCGAUACUGCAAUAGCUAGAGUCCGGUAGGGGAGCAUGGAACUCCUGGUGUAGCGGUGAAAUGCGCAGAUAUCAGGAAGAACACCAAUGGCGAAGGCAGCUCUCUGGGACGGUACUGACGCUGAGACGCGAAAGCGUGGGGAGCGAACAGG
rnacentral:rRNA from 1 species